UACGAAGGGGGCUAGCGUUGCUCGGAAUCACUGGGCGUAAAGCGCACGUAGGCGGCUUUUUAAGUCAGGGGUGAAAUCCCGGAGCUCAACUCCGGAACUGCCUUUGAUACUGAAAAGCUUGAGUUCGGGAGAGGUGAGUGGAACUGCGAGUGUAGAGGUGAAAUUCGUAGAUAUUCGCAAGAACACCAGUGGCGAAGGCGGCUCACUGGCCCGAUACUGACGCUGAGGUGCGAAAGCGUGGGGAGCAAACAGG
rnacentral:rRNA from 1 species